GAUGAACGCUGGCGGCGUGCCUAAUACAUGCAAGUCGAGCGAACAGACGAGGAGCUUGCUCCUCUGACGUUAGCGGCGGACGGGUGAGUAACACGUGGAUAACCUACCUAUAAGACUGGGAUAACUUCGGGAAACCGGAGCUAAUACCGGAUAAUAUAUUGAACCGCAUGGUUCAAUAGUGAAAGACGGUUUUGCUGUCACUUAUAGAUCGAUCCGCGCCGCAUUGGCUAGUUGGUAAGGUAACGGCUUACCAAGGCAACGAUGCGUAGCCGACCUGAGAGGGUGAACGGCCAGACUGGAACUGAGACACGGUCCAGACUCCUACGGGAGGCAGCAGUAGGGAAUCUUCCGCAAUGGGCGAAAGCCUGACGGAGCAACGCCGCGUGAGUGAUGAAGGUCUUCGGAUCGUAAAACUCUGUUAUUAGGGAAGAACAAAUGUGUAAGUAACUAUGCACGUCUUGACGGUACCUAAUCAGAAAGCCACGGCUAACUACGUG
rnacentral:rRNA from 1 species